rnacentral:rRNA from 1 species
AAUAGUACAUGCAAGUCGAGCGAACUGAUUAGAAGCUUGCUUCUAUGACGUUAGCGGCGGACGGGUGAGUAACACGUGGGCAACCUGCCUGUAAGACUGGGAUAACUUCGGGAAACCGAAGCUAAUACCGGAUAGGAUCUUCUCCUUCAUGGGAGAUGAUUGAAAGAUGGUUUCGGCUAUCACUUACAGAUGGGCCCGCGGUGCAUUAGCUAGUUGGUGAGGUAACGGCUCACCAAGGCAACGAUGCAUAGCCGACCUGAGAGGGUGAUCGGCCACACUGGGACUGAGACACGGCCCAGACUCCUACGGGAGGCAGCAGUAGGGAAUCUUCCGCAAUGGACGAAAGUCUGACGGAGCAACGCCGCGUGAGUGAUGAAGGCUUUCGGGUCGUAAAACUCUGUUGUUAGGGAAGAACAAGUACAAGAGUAACUGCUUGUACCUUGACGGUACCUAACCAGAAAGCCACGGCUAACUACGUGCCAGCAGCCGCGGUAAUACGUAGGUGGCAAGCGUUAUCCGGAAUUAUUGGGCGUAAAGCGCGCGCAGGCGGUUUCUUAAGUCUGAUGUGAAAGCCCACGGCUCAACCGUGGAGGGUCAUUGGAAACUGGGGAACUUGAGUGCAGAAGAGAAAAGCGGAAUUCCACGUGUAGCGGUGAAAUGCGUAGAGAUGUGGAGGAACACCAGUGGCGAAGGCGGCUUUUUGGUCUGUAACUGACGCUGAGGCGCGAAAGCGUGGGGAGCAAACAGGAUUAGAUACCCUGGUAGUCCACGCCGUAAACGAUGAGUGCUAAGUGUUAGAGGGUUUCCGCCCUUUAGUGCUGCAGCUAACGCAUUAAGCACUCCGCCUGGGGAGUACGGUCGCAAGACUGAAACUCAGAGGAAUUGACGGGGGCCCGCACAGCCGUGGAGCAUGUGGUUUAAUUCGAAGCAACGCGAGAAACCUUACCAGGUCUUGACGUCCUC